rnacentral:tRNA from 1 species
GGCUAUGUAGCUCAGUUGGUUAGAGCAUGCGGCUCAUAUCCGCAGUGUCCGGGGUUCAAGUCCCUGCAUAGCCACCA